UACAGAGGGUGCAAGCGUUAAUCGGAAUUACUGGGCGUAAAGCGUGCGUAGACGGUUAUUUAAGUCAGGUGUGAAAGCCCCGGGCUCAACCUGGGAAUUGCAUUUGAGACUGAAUAGCUAGGGUGCGGAAGAGGGAAGCGGAAUUUCCGGUGUAGCGGUGAAAUUCGUAGAUAUUCGGAAGAACACCAGUGGCGAAGGCGACUUACUGGACGAUUGUUGACGCUGAGGUGCGAAAGCGUGGGGAGCAAACAGG
rnacentral:rRNA from 1 species